CAGUUAAAGCACUUCAGCCACGAGACCAUUAUUUUAAAGCACACCUUCCAACCUUAUUGAAGUCUGCGAUGCCAGUUCAUCCUAAAGUUCCUCCUAAAGUUCCUCCUAAAGUUUCUACUAAAGUUUUUUCUGCUCCUUCCUCUACACUUACUACACAAGUGACUACAUUUACUAAAAAGCAGACGACUGGUCCAAAAAGAAAACAAAUUAGCUUAGAUCAAUGCGCUUCUUGUGAAACGAGCGUGCAACACACAAGAAACUGUAGACAGUGAAAUCAAAUUUCCCAGCACUAGUAAAGGAAUUUCAUCUGUAACUCCCAACAC